rnacentral:rRNA from 1 species
CCUACGGGUGGCAGCAGUCGAGAAUCAUUCACAAUGGGGGAAACCCUGAUGGUGCGACGCCGCGUGGGGGAAUGAAGGUCUCCGGAUUGUAAACACCUGUCAUGUGGGAGCAAAUUAAAAAGAUAGUACCACAAGAGGAAGAGACGGCUAACUCUGUGCCCGCAGCCGCGGUAAUACAGAGGUCUCAAGCGUUGUUCGGAAUCACUGGGCGUAAAGCGUGCGUAGGCGGGUUCGUAAGUCGGGUGUGAAAGCCGCGGGCUCAACCCGCGGACGGCAUAUGAUACUGCGAGACUAGAGUAAUGUAGGGGGAACUGGAAUUCUCGGUGUAGCAGUGAAAUGCGUAGAGAUCGGGAGGAACACUCGUGGCGAAGGCGGGUUCCUGGACAUUAACUGACGCUGAGGCACGAAGGCCUGGGGAGCGAAAGGGAUUAGAUACCCCUGUAGUC